UCCGAAAGGGGUAGACGAUGGCAAAUUGGUUAAUAUUCCAAUACCAACAUUAGUGUGCGAUGGAAGGACGCUUAGGGCUAAGGGGGCUAGCGGAUGGAAGUGCUAGUCUAAGGUCGUAGGAGGUUAUACAGGCAAAUCCGUAUAACAAUACUCCGAGAACUGAAAGGCUUUUUGAAGUCUUCGGAUGGAUAGAAGAACCCCUGAUGCCGUCGAGCCAAGAAAAGUUUCUAAGUUUAGUUAAUGUUGCCCGUACCGUAAACCGACACAGGUGGGUGGGAUGAGUAUUCUAAGGCGCGUGGAAGAACUCUCUUUAAGGAACUCUGCAAAAUAGCACCGUAUCUUCGGUAUAAGGUGUGGUUAGCUUUGUAUUAGGAUUUACUCCGAAAGCAAGGAAACUUACAACAAAGAGUCCCUCCCGACUGUUUACCAAAAACACAGCACUCUGCUAACUCGUAAGAGGAUGUAUAGGGUGUGACGCCUGCCCGGUGCUCGAAGGUUAAUUGAUGGGGUUAGCAUUAGCGAAGCUCUUGAUCGAAGCCCGAGUAAACGGCGGCCGUAACUAUAACGGUCCUAAGGUAGCGAAAUUCCUUGUCGGUUAAAUACCGACCUGCAUGAAUGGCGUAACGAGAUGGGAGCUGUCUCAAAGAGGGAUCCAGUGAAAUUGUAGUGGAGGUGAAAAUUCCUCCUACCCGCGGCAAGACGGAAAGACCCCGUGGACCUUUACUACAGCUUGACACUGCUACUUGGAUAAGAAUGUGCAGGAUAGGUGGGAGGCUUUGAGUAUAUGACGCCAGUUGUAUAUGAGCCAUUGUUGAGAUACCACUCUUUCUUAUUUGGGUAGCUAACCAGCUUGAGUUAUCCUCAAGUGGGACAAUGUCUGGUGGGUAGUUUGACUGGGGCGGUCGCCUCCCAAAUAAUAACGGAGGCUUACAAAGGUUGGCUCAGAACGGUUGGAAAUCGUUCGUAGAGUAUAAAGGUAUAAGCCAGCUUAACUGCAAGACAUACAAGUCAAGCAGAGACGAAAGUCGGUCUUAGUGAUCCGGUGGUUCUGUGUGGAAGGGCCAUCGCUCAAAGGAUAAAAGGUACCCCGGGGAUAACAGGCUGAUCUCCCCCAAGAGCUCACAUCGACGGGGAGGUUUGGCACCUCGAUGUCGGCUCAUCGCAUCCUGGGGCUGGAGCAGGUCCCAAGGGUAUGGCUGUUCGCCAUUUAAAGCGGUACGCGAGCUGGGUUCAGAACGUCGUGAGACAGUUCGGUCCCUAUCUGCCGUGGGCGUAAGAAGAUUGAAGAGAUUUGACCCUAGUACGAGAGGACCGGGUUGAACAAACCACUGGUGUAGCUGUUGUUCUGCCAAGAGCAUCGCAGCGUAGCUAAGUUUGGAAAGGAUAAACGCUGAAAGCAUCUAAGCGUGAAGCCAACUCUAAGAUGAAUCUUCUCUAAGCUCUCUAGAAGACUACUAGUUUGAUAGGCUGGGUGUGUAAUGGAUGAAAGUCCUUUAGCUGACCAGUACUAAUAGAGCGUUUGGCUUAUCUUU
rnacentral:rRNA from 1 species